AUUGAACGCUGGCGGCAUGCCUUACACAUGCAAGUCGAACGGCAGCACGGGAGCUUGCUCCUGGUGGCGAGUGGCGAACGGGUGAGUAAAGUAUCGGAACGUGCCCAGUCGUGGGGGAUAACGUAGCGAAAGUUACGCUAAUACCGCAUCCGAUCUAUGGAUGAAAGCGGGGGAUCGCAAGACCUCGCGCGAUUGGCGCGGCCGAUAUCAGAUUAGGAAGUUGGUGGGGUAAAGGCUCACCAAGCCGACGAUCUGUAGCUGGUCUGAGAGGACGACCAGCCACACUGGGAAUGGGACACAGCACAGACUCCUACGGGAGGCAGCAGUGGGGAAUUUUGGACAAUGGGCGAAAGCCUGAUCCAGCCAUGCCGCGUGCAGGAUGAAGGCCUUCGGGUUGUAAACUGCUUUUGUACGGAACGAAAAGGUUUGGCCUAAUAAGCUGAGCUCAUGACAGUACCGUAAGAAUAAGCACCGGCUAACUACGUGCCAGCCGCCGCUGUAA
rnacentral:rRNA from 1 species